rnacentral:lncRNA from 1 species
CUUUCUCUCCCUAAGGAGUUGGCACUACUGCCGCUGUUCCUCCCUUUUUGUUUUGGACACAUCCAUUGGGAAAAAGGGAUACAGGAUCCCAGCCCCCAUCUUAAGACAGUGAGCAUGGCCAAGGUCUAGGCUGGAGGACUCCUGGGCUGACAAUGCCAAACUUCGUUUUAAGUAAAUGAUGGAUGUCGUUAUGGCCGAAGCCAUUUGCUAAUUGGCUCUAUAUUAGCCGAAGCUAAUUGGCUCUAUACUGUGGCAGCCCAGUUAUGUUACUGACUAGCUCUGUGCCUCAGUUUCCCUAUAUGGAGAAUGGAGGGAACGAUAGUAUCCGCUACAUAGGGUUGUUGUAAAGUUAUUCAAUGAGUUAGCGUAAAUGAAGUGCUAAUUACUCUACCUGGCAAGUUAUACUCACCAUAUAAUUGUUAGUCAUUAUAAUUCUUCUGUUAUUUGCAUCCAAGUCUUUCUAAACUGAUACAGUCAAAAAUUCCCUGAAAGCUGUGAAUUCUGAAGUUUGAUAAUACAUCAAAGAAUCCAAGCCCCAAAAUAUAAGCAAAUGUGCCUGUUUAAGGAACAGCUGCCUAGGACAGGAGAUAAAGACUUUCCUAUCUUGGGAAGCACCCCUGACUGAAGACAAAAGAGAAAGCUCCCGGAAGAUAAUGAUUUGGAGUUCCCCAACAAAGGACCACGGCCCUACCCAGGCACCCCACCAUGUGACAGGCCCUGCCCAGACACACGGAGCAUGCAAAGGUGAUUAAUUGCCUCACACUCAAAUAUCACAGAACAUGAGACAUUUGAGAACUGCUAACACGAGACACAAACAGGAAAAGGUCCUGGGGAGAUGCCAGUGCUCCUUGGCUGGGGACCUAGUCUUGGAUCUGUCAGAAGCUGGCUGUGUGGCCUCGGCAAAGUCCUGUCCCCUCUCUGGGCCUCAGUUUCCGUGUAGUUGAGGAGAAUCUUUCUGGCCGGGAACUUGCCUCAACAUAUCUCCUACUGGGGCAUGUGAGUCCUUUGCUCUGCUUGAGAAAUUAUCCUGAAAACCAUUGGGUUAUUUUGUGGAUCUCACCUGGAUGACCUAAAGGGUGUGGAUUUCAAGGGCAGAAGAAAACUUAUCAGUCCUCACGGUGCAUGAAAUUCCAGCAUGCUCCUCUAAAGGGGACCCUUGAAACAAAUAAAUUUCAAUGGAUGAUACUCAAA